CACGUAGGGUGCGAGCGUUUGUCCGGAAUUAUUGGGCGUAAAGAGUCUCGUAGGCGGUGUGUCGCGUCGGCCGUGAAAACCUGCAGCUUAACUGUGGGCGUGCGGUCGAUACGGGCAUCACUGGAGUUCGGCAGGGGAGACUGGAAGUUCCUGGUGUAGCGGUGAAAUGCGCAGAUAUCAGGAGGAACACCGGUGGCGAAGGCGGGUCUCUGGGCCGAUACUGACGCUGAGGAGCGAAAGCGUGGGGAGCGAACAGG
rnacentral:rRNA from 1 species